rnacentral:lncRNA from 1 species
GCAAACCCAAACACCAACUAUGCUAUUAUCAAGCACGAAUCAAGCGAACCUAACAAAAUCAAACAUACAAAGCAAUCAUAAACACACAUGACAAAACCCAACCCCACGAAAUCCUAACGCUCUUUUUUCAUUGAUUUUGAGUAGCACAACAUGGUACAAACGAGGAAUGCGGAAUCAAAAUAACAAAACGGGACAAGAAUGCUACCAAACAUCGUAACAAAUCUGGUAUGUAAGUAUUUUGAUCUACUUUUGCAUUGUCCUCUUCUUUUUCUGUGAACUUCAAUCACGGAUGUUGAUGUGUUAUAAUUUUUUAGAUCAGUCUCAAAUGAGCUUCGAUUAGAAGCUCAAAUGAGUAGGGGAGUAAAGCUCUUAGUGAAAGGGUUUUGGGGUAGAAAAUCCUGCAACAAUUCGUUACUCUCUAAGGGGUCCCUUAUGGCAAAGAUUGAACAUAUACUUAUAGGGGGAUUUAGGUUAGAUGUAAAAUGUGUGAGUGAUGGGAGGGAAAUUUGUCAAACAUUUUAGAAUUAGCUAUGAUAUUGCAAUCCGUUGGAGAGAAUAUUUUUAGGGGAUUUUGUGGGGACUUCUGGGGAUUGUGACUCAUCUGAAUUUUGUCUGUAAUGAGGAUGAAUAUGCUUCUAGAAGUGAUGUAGUCCCUCUCUGAUUUCAAAUAGUUUUACUGCUGGAAAAACAUGAAUUUACUAAUAUGUUGCUUUCACUACUCUUCAAUUCAAACUCAGUCAACAUAGUAUUCUGACUUUGACUCCUCUAUUUUUUUCUUUUUCUCUUUUUCACCUUGCUGCAAAAUUUAUUUUUGCUAUGUAUUUUUCAGAAUCUUCUUUUAAUGAUAUGUUGCUUUCUUGUUGUAAAAUCGAUUUUGGUAUGGUUCACGUGGUCCCCCUCCAUAAUUUCAAAUUGAUUGUUACUGUUGUAAAACUUGCCAUGUAUUACCUUUGAACUUUCCCUGCUAUAUGCUACUGAUGACUAAAAACACGUUGUCCCUCAAAGUGUAUGUUAUUAUGCAAUAUGAAUUGAUCCCUUCAUGAAUGUGUGUGAUUUGUUGAAAAUUCUGCUUGAGUUUUUUUUUGUCACUUGAUACAUAUCUUUCAUGGCCUUCAUGUUUAGUUUUCUAUUUAGACCAAGAGUACUUUUUCGAAUGUUUACUUAUUGAUGAAACUUUAAUCCUUAUCCAAUUUUCCAUGGUUUGUCUUUUGAUGUUUUGCAAUCUUUCUCAUGUUUCAAAGCUUUGGUAUGCUUGUAGUGGUUGCAUUGGUGGAAUAUCAAAUGUAUGUUAUGGUCCUUGUAUUGACAAAGUUGCUUCUUUUUGCUUCUAGGUUCAUGGUAAUGGUAAAGGAGGUUUGAAGAUUGGGUUGGAAAAAGAACACAAGGAUGGACCAAAUGGGAUGGCAUGAAACUUGGAGUUGAAGAAAAGAUGGUCAUGGAGCCAAAGUUAGCCUCUGAAGCAAAAGCUUUUCUACCAAGGAAACUCUGUCAGAUUCAGAACCUUUUUGAUCAUGUGAAUACUUAAGGAAAAAUAUUCUUUUACGCUUGAGCCUCAACAAAUCAUUCCUCUUAUACAAAGGUGUUUUCCCGAUGUGUCUAAUCAAGUACAAAGGUUAUCCAACCUUUUGGUGAAAGUCUUCAAUUUCUCUUUUCUCUCUUAUCUAUAUAAGGAGUUUUAGGCUUACGAAGAAGUCUACAAAGAUAUACUACCACAACACAAAGCAGUUCACUACAAUCUCUAUUCAUUGAAAUUCAAAGAGAAGCUAAUUUAUCAAAUUUACAUGACUUAGAACAUCUUAACUUUGUGUAUAUUUUUGAAGUUCUUAAGUCUUAGAGUCUUUCUAAUUUGUAUUUUGUUGACAACUCUGAUUGUAUAUCAAGUGCAAGUUAUUACCCAAAUAUCUUAAACAAUUUGUUAUAGAUUCAGAAAUCUCUUGCUUUAGUCCUGGAGCAUUUGAAGUCUUUAGUUUGUGUGCUAGAGCAAGGAAGUCUUUAGCUUGUGGGCUUGAUCAAGGAAGUCUCAAACUUGUGUGUUUGAUCAAGGAAGUCUUACAC